rnacentral:rRNA from 1 species
ACAUGCAAGUCGAGCGAUGAAACACCUUCGGGUGUGAAUUAGCGGCGAACGGGUGAGGAACUCGUGAGGAAUCUGCCUUCAACUCUGGGAUAACUCCGGGAAACCGGGGCUAAUACCGGAUAUGAGCCUCGAUCGCAUGAUUGGGGCUGGAAAGUUUUUCGGUUGAAGAUGACUUCGCGGCCUAUCAGCUUGUUGGUGAGGUAAUGGCUCACCAAGGCGACGACGGGUAGCCGGCCUGAGAGGGCGACCGGCCACACUGGGACUGAGACACGGCCCAGACUCCUACGGGAGGCAGCAGUGGGGAAUAUUGGGCAAUGGAGGAAACUCUGACCCAGCGACGCCGCGUGAGGGAUGAAGGCCUUCGGGUUGUAAACCUCUUUCAGUAGGGAAGAAGCGAAAGUGACGGUACCUACAGAAGAAGCACCGGCUAACUAUGUGCCAGCAGCCGCGGUAAUACAUAGGGUGCAAGCGUUGUCCGGAAUUAUUGGGCGUAAAGAGCUCGUAGGUGGUUCGAUACGUCGGAUGUGAAAAUCAGGGGCUCAACCUCUGACCUGCAUCCGAUACGGUCGAGCUAGAGUUUGGUAGGGGAGACUGGAAU